rnacentral:rRNA from 1 species
GACGAACGCUGGCGGCGUGCUUAACACAUGCAAGUCGAACGGAAAGGCCCUGCCUUUGUGGGGUGCUCGAGUGGCGAACGGGUAAGUAACACGUGAGUAACCUGCCCUUGACUUUGGGAUAACUUCAGGAAACUGGGGCUAAUACCGGAUAGGAGCUCCUGCUGCAUGGUGGGGGUUGGAAAGUUUCGGCGGUUGGGGAUGGACUCGCGGCUUAUCAGCUUGUUGGUGGGGUAGUGGCUUACCAAGGCUUUGACGGGUAGCCGGCCUGAGAGGGUGACCGGCCACAUUGGGACUGAGAUACGGCCCAGACUCCUACGGGAGGCAGCAGUGGGGAAUAUUGCACAAUGGGCGGAAGCCUGAUGCAGCAACGCCGCGUGCGGGAUGACGGCCUUCGGGUUGUAAACCGCUUUCGCCUGUGACGAAGCGUGAGUGACGGUAAUGGGUAAAGAAGCACCGGCUAACUACGU